rnacentral:lncRNA from 1 species
AUAAUAUACAAAUGUGAGAUUUUAUUAUUAUUAUUGCUGAAGCAUAUAGACAAAGUUUGAGUAAGGUGGUAAAUAAAGAGAGCAAAAUCUCUACAUAUUUUUCAUUUCUUUCAUGUGGAAUUUUUAUAGGACAUGACCAAGAGUCACAGAGGAUGGAAAGGCACACAUUAGUUGCAAUUUCCACUACUGGAGGGGAGUAUUCAUACCAAGAAUACCACAAAUCCAUCAAAAUGUUGGUGGAUCAAAAUGCACACUCAUUCAAUUCCAAAAUAAUAUCAAAGAUGCCUUGCAAAGAAGAUAAUAUGUAAAGAUCACACUUAGAGUGUUAUGGACUGCAAUGUGACCCAUGGCCCACAUAUUUGACAUCUCUGUUGUAGAAAGUGAUUUUACUUCUUCUUGAGAUUCUCACAUCUUGGCUGCAUCCCAAAAGAGAGAAAAGUGAUCAGGCCUUUCUGAGGGUCUCCAGUGAAAUAUCCUGAAUAGGAAAGAGAGAGCUAUGAGCAUCUUCACCUAUUAUAUGGACUGCACCUCUCAGUUGAUCAAAUAAUGCUGCUACCAACAUUUCUGUCAGCGAUCGAAGACCUCCCAAUCCUCAUGGCCAUUUCUCAACUUCACCUGCAUGGGGAGAGAAAUUGCAGCAAGACAGGCUGGAGGUUGAUCAACUGUCAAUCACAGGAAGAUUCCAGUUGGAAUGUUACCGGGAAACAGUUGAAGGCAAGAGCCAACUGCUGACUGAUUUCUGGACUUGUUGGCUGAUGGUGGUGACUUUGGAGGAAGAAGCUGGAUUCAUUUCUGGGACUUGGGAUAAUCAAACUGGAGGUGGCCUCGCUGAUUUAAAGGCAGAAGAAAAAGGACAAUAGUCCUUAUAUAUCUCACUCUGACUUGCUCUGUUUCACGGUUGUGACUGAAUUGCCAUUUCUUUCAAUAUCCUCCAAACUAAGGCUCACUGUAGAUAAUAGGAAAACCCCCAGCCCUCUUACCUUCAUCCUGCAUCUUUUCCUGUUUUCCCCAAUAAACCUCUAUUUGAGAUAAAGAAGAGAAAAGAG